CCCUUUCCCCAUGUCUGUUGCCAUUGAUUGUGUGCACCUGGUGCCCUGUGUUGUAUCCUCCCCGCUCACCUGUGUUCUGUUGGGUUGAUUGGGUUGGGCAUUUAGGCUCUGGGGUUUUUCUGUUUGGAGGUAGUGUGUGUGAGAUCCUGGAGGCUGUGCUCAGGGAAACAACAGCAGGAUUGAGGCUGUGUGUCAUUGUGAUCAUUUAAUAAAUGCCCACACCGGGUUGUAUUUUUGGACGUUCUGCCUUUGCCUCCUUGCUUGGUCGGGCCACUCAAUUGUCAGCGUCACAAACAGAACAUCUAGAAACAUCUGAGGAGAGGAAGAAAGAGUUUAUCUGUGCUUCCAAACUCUCAUUAUUAUUACAUCCUCCCUCUGCCGGAGCAGGAAGUGAGGUGGUCAUGCUGACGGCAGAUGGCUCUUUAUCGCUGGAGCCCUGGCCUCUCCAUGACAACCGCAGAGAGCAGGAAGUGACACAUCCCGCCGAGUGGAGAGAGAUUCAUCUGGACACACAGUAGAGUAACACAGAUGAAAGGAUGCGGACACCCUAUCGUGAAUAAAGGACGCCAGCCUCCACCUGUUGUCGGGGGGGCUUCAAACGGACAAGAGUAUGGUGUGUUUGUGGGUCAGAUGGUGGAACCAAAUGACAAAUCAUGUUAUUAUAGAUCUCAUUUGGCACGUUGUUUUAAGUAUUUUUGGCACAUUAUUCAUCACAUUAUUUCUGUCUCCUUAUCUUUGAUGAUGCCUGAUCAUAAAAGUGAUAUU